rnacentral:rRNA from 1 species
AGUGAACGCUGGCGGUAGGCCUAACACAUGCAAGUCGAACGGCAGCACAGUAAGAUCUUGCUCUUACGGGUGGCGAGUGGCGGACGGGUGAGGAAUACAUCGGAAUCUACUUUUUCGUGGGGGAUAACGUAGGGAAACUGACGCUAAUACCGCAUACGACCUACGGGUGAAAGCAGGGGAUCUUCGGACCUUGCGCGAUUGAAUGAGCCGAUGUCGGAUUAGCUAGUUGGCGGGGUAAAGGCCCACCAAGGCGACGAUCCGUAGCUGGCCUGAGAGGAUGAUCAGCCACACUGGAACUGAGACACGGUCCAGACUCCUACGGGAGGCAGCAGUGGGGAAUAUUGGACAAUGGGCGCAAGCCUGAUCCAGCAAUACCGCGUGGGUGAAGAAGGCCUUCGGGUUGUAAAGCCCUUUUGUUGGGAAAGAAAAGCAGCAGGUUAAUACCCCGCUGUUCUGACGGUACCCAAAGAAUAAGCACCGGCUAACUUCGUG